AAUGAACGCUGGCGGUGUACCUUAGGCAUGCAAGUCGAACGGAAAGGCCCCGACUUUGUCGGGGUACUCGAGUGGCAGACGGGUGAGUAACACGUGAGAAUCUACCUUCUAGUGGGGAAUAGCCCUCCGAAAGGAGGGGUAAUACCGCAUGUGUUCCGAUUUUAUCGGAAUAAAGCCUUCGGGCGCUAGAAGAGGGGCUCGCGCGCUAUCAGCUUGUUGGUAGGGUAAUGGCCUACCAAGGCAAUGACGGCUAGCCGAUGUGAGAGCAUGAUCGGCCACAAGGCUACUGAGACACGGAGCCUACACCUACGGGUGGCAGCAACCGGGAAUAUUGCGCAAUGGGCGAAAGCCUGACGCAGCGACACCGCGUGUGGGAUGACGCUCUUCGGAGUGUAAACCACUGUGGCGAGGGAUGAAUUUUGACAGUACCUCGCUAGAAAGCACCAGCUAACUACGUGCCAGAAGCUUCGGUAAUACGUAGGGUGCAAGCGUUAUUCGGAUUUACUGGGCGUAAAGGGUCCGUAGGCGGUUUGUUAAGUUACUUGUCUAAGCCCGAGGCUUAACUUCGGAAGGGCAAGUAAAACUGACAGACUAGAGUUUAUUCGAGGAAACUGGAAUUCCUGGUGGAGGAGUGAAAUCCGUAGAUAUCAGGAGGAACACCAAUCGCGAAGGCAGGUUUCUAGAAUAUAACUGACGCUCAGGGACGAAAGCUUGGGUAGCAAAGCGGAUUAGAGACCCGUGUAGUCCAAGCUGUAAACGUUGUCUGCUAGUUGUUCCCGACUUGUCGGGAGUGACGUAAGCUAACGCGUUAAGCAGACCGCCUGGGGAGUACGACCGCAAGGUUAAAACUCAAAGGAAUUGACGGGGGAGCGCACAACCGGUGGAGCAUGUGGUUUAAUUCGAUACAAAGCGAAAAACCUUACCCAGACUUGACAUGUACCUGCAAUCCUGAUGAAAGUCGGGACUUCUUCGAGAGUGGUACACAGGUGAUGCAUGGCUGUCGUCAGCUCGUGUCGUGAGACGUCCACUUAAGUGUGGUAACGAGCGCAACCCUUGUCCCGUGUUAUAAGUAUCACGGGAGACUGCCCCCGAUUCCUCGGGGGAGGAAGGAGAGGACGACGUCAAGUCAGCAUGUCCCUUACGUCUGGGGCUACACACAUCCUACAAUGGAGCCGACAACGGGUUUAGCGAAAGGGCGACCUUGAGCCAAUCCUUAUAAACGGCCCCUCAGUUCGGAUUGCAGGCUGAAAUUCGCCUGCAUGAAGUCGGAAUCGGUAGUAAUCGCAAAUCAGCAGGUUGCGGUGAAUACGUUCUCGCUCCU
rnacentral:rRNA from 1 species